UUUUCCUUGACCAGUUUACUCAUUGAUUUAUUUCAACAACCUUCCAAAGAACUCCAAUGCUAAAAGUAUCACUUGUCCUCACACUUCUGAACUAUUUACUCUUAAGAUUAGAUGAGAAACUCACAAUUCAAGCUGAAGCGAGCUCUGCAAGUCAUUAAAAUUAUUCAAUUCCAACAACUAAGCAAAAAAUUAUUUAAAGUCAAAUAAACAAAUGAAAAAAAUAGUUGCGCGGCCAGGUUUCGAUCCUGGGACCUACGGGUUAUGAGCCCGUCGGAGUUCCACUCUCCUACCGCGCACAAAUACCGUCACCAGCAGGAUUUGAACCUGCGCGGGCAGAGCCCAUUAGAUGACUAGAAUACAGGAUUCAAGUCUAACUCCUUAACCACUCGGACAUAGUGACUUCUUGAAAGCUAUCUCAAAUUUGUGAUAUAUAUUCACAGUUUUUGUAAAAGGUUAACUAAAUCUGUUAUUCGAGAAUUUGAAUUGUGUUAUACAAAUUGUAAAACUAGUUGGUAAA